AUUGAACGCUGGCGGCAUGCUUUACACAUGCAAGUCGAACGGCAGCGCGGGCUUCGGCCUGGCGGCGAGUGGCGAACGGGUGAGUAAUACAUCGGAACGUGCCCAGUAGUGGGGGAUAGCUCGGCGAAAGCCGGAUUAAUACCGCAUACGACCUGAGGGUGAAAGCGGGGGAUCUUCGGACCUCGCGCUAUUGGAGCGGCCGAUGGCAGAUUAGCUAGUUGGUGGGGUAAAGGCCUACCAAGGCGACGAUCUGUAGCUGGUCUGAGAGGACGACCAGCCACACUGGGAUUGAGACACGGCCCAGACUCCUACGGGAGGCAGCAGUGGGGAAUUUUGGACAAUGGGCGAAAGCCUGAUCCAGCAAUGCCGCGUGUGUGAUGAAGGCCUUCGGGUUGUAAAGCACUUUUGGCGGGAACGAAAAGGACUGUGCCAAUACCACGGUUCGAUGACGGUACCCGCAGAAUAAGCACCGGCUAACUACGUG
rnacentral:rRNA from 1 species